AGGGGCGUGUGUGCACGCUGCUGGGCAGGACUGAGCAGGGCCCGGCGCAGCUGCACUCGGUCUCUUCUUCUUGUGUGCAUCGCCCGGAGAACAUCACCCCCCUGGACAACGAGCAUUUAAACCUGGCUGAUUACCUUUCACGGACGCGUACGCAUUGCUGAAAGGAAAAAUCACGUCACGAGAAGAGAUCCAUCGUUAUCGGAGCAGGAUAAAAGUCUAGUCUGGUAGGGAGAAAGGCGUUCCGGAAGUUAAAGGACCUUCUACAAGCAGCAAGGACAAAGGUUAGCACUGAUUGAAUGAUGACAUCUCAACCAAAAAACACACAUUAGAGAAAGAGAAGAGAGAAAAAGGAGGAAAGAAAGAAGACAGAGAAGCCGACAUUGCAAGCCAAUAAAAUACAAAUGCUGUAUCAAUAAAUUUAUCUUGUUAUCA